rnacentral:rRNA from 1 species
CGGGGUGAGUAACGCGUGGGUAACCUGCCUCACACAGGGGGAUAACAGUUAGAAAUGACUGCUAAUACCGCAUAACCCGAUAGGAUCGCAUGAUCCAGACGGAAAAGAUUUAUCGGUGUGAGAUGGACCCGCGUCUGAUUAGCUAGUUGGUGAGGUAACGGCCCACCAAGGCGACGAUCAGUAGCCGGCCUGAGAGGGUGAACGGCCACAUUGGGACUGAGACACGGCCCAA